rnacentral:rRNA from 1 species
GACGAACGUUGGCGGCGUGCUUAACACAUGCAAGUCGAACGGAAAGGCCCUGCUUUUGUGGGGUGCUCGAGUGGCGAACGGGUGAGUAACACGUGAGUAACCUGCCCUUGACUUUGGGAUAACUUCAGGAAACUGGGGCUAAUACCGGAUAGGAGCUCCUGCUGCAGGGUGGGGGUUGGAAAGUUUCGGCGGUUGGGGAUGGACUCGCGGCUUAUCAGCUUGUUGGUGGGGUAGUGGCUUACCAAGGCUUUGACGGGUAGCCGGCCUGAGAGGGUGACCGGCCACAUUGGGACUGAGAUACGGACCAGACUCCUACGGGAGGCAGCAGUGGGGAAUAUUGCACAAUGGGCGGAAGCCUGAUGCAGCAACGCCGCGUGCGGGAUGACGGCCUUCGGGUUGUAAACCGCUUUAGCCUGUGACGAAGCGUGAGUGACGGUAAUGGGUAAAGAAGCACCGGCUAACUACGUG